UAUACUUUUCUGUCAGUCAAAAAGGAUUGCAUCCAAUUUAUUAUUUUACCUGGUAUCCCUAACAUUGAUAACUCGUCACAAAGCACGGCAAUAUUUACACUAUUGAAGGCACCUGAGAUGUCAAAAAAUACAGACAAAAGAUACUGAUUACUUGCUAAACAUUGAUGCGCAUCAAGCUGUAACUGCGCUAUACUCUCCCUAGAAGACCGACCUUUGCGAAAACCAAACUGAUUAUUAGGCAAAAGACAAUUUUGUUCUAUAAAGAACUCGAGACGUUGUUUUAGAAGCUGCUCAAAUAUCUUCCCAACACAAGACGUGAGAGCUAUAGGUCUAUAAGAGUCAGCAUUUAAAACUGCUUCUGUACACCUCUGAUUCCACCAAGGCAACCAAGGAUAUUUAAAAGAUUUUUGUGAACAAGAACUAGUAGCAUUAUUACUAUUAGAACUUUUGGAAAACAGACAGCUAGGGAUUGACUGCUUGGCAGCAGAAAGUAAAAUAUUACAAAAGGAAUUAAAAGCAUCUAUUGAAGAUAAAGUGUCAAAUUUAACAUCAUCCAAAUAAGAAACAACUAAGUUACUAUACAUAUUCCAAUUCACCUGCUUAUAAUUAGGGGAGAUGAUAACUACUGCCCAGAGGACUGUCAAUAACUGACCAGUCACAUAAAAGAGCCAAAGAUGGAGUUACCAAAGUCAAGUCAAGAGCAUUAGGACGCCAAGAUGGAGAUCCUAUUGUGGUAGCUUACCAUUAUUCAGAAUAACAAGACCAUUCUCAUCUAUAACCUCUAAAACAUCUUUACCUCGAGGCAAUGUAUCAACACAUCCCCACAACAUGUGAUGAGCAUUGAAAUCACCUGCAAAUAUCAUUGGCUCUGGAAUGGACUUAAUUAAACUGUUUAAAUUGUUUUUAUUAAAUGGAGGAUUUGAAUUGGAAGGACUGUAAAAACUCACAAUACUCAGUUCUUUGUUAUUAAUUUUAAUUUUAAUGCAAACAUUUUGUAGAGCACUAUCAAAAUAUGUAUUUAUGUUAGAAAAUGUGAUAUUAUUAUGAAUAAAAAUUGCUACACCA